CGCGUAGGCGGUUUGAUAAGUCGGAUGUGAAAGCCCUGGGCUCAACCUGGGAAUUGCAUUCGAAACUGUCUGACUAGAGUAUGGGAGAGGGAAGUGGAAUUUCCGGUGUAGCGGUGAAAUGCGUAGAUAUCGGAAGGAACACCAGUGGCGAAGGCGACUUCCUGGACCAAUACUGACGCUGAGGUGCGAAGGCGUGGGGAGCAAACAGGAUUAGAUACCCUGGUAGUCC
rnacentral:rRNA from 1 species